rnacentral:lncRNA from 1 species
GCGAGUUGACCCCAACUUGUGUUCGGCUCGUUUAUUUAACGAGCUGAAAAAUUGUAGGGACUGAGAUUUUGACAGUGCAACUAGACUCUCUGCUGAUGAUGUUUAUGUGUGUAAUUUAAUUACAUAAGCACUCGUCAAGUUUCAGGAGAAUAUGAGCUAGAAUGGAGAAGUUACGCGAUUAUUAGUUUUCACUUAAGUGAAUAGUAACUCCGGUU